GUCACUUUGGCCGAGUGGUCUAAGGCGCCAGCUUCAGGAUAUGAUUACAUAAUUCUGCUGGUCUUCGAAAGAAGGCGUGGGUUCAAGUCCCACAGGUGACA